rnacentral:rRNA from 1 species
GAUGAACGCUAGCGGCAGGCCUAACACAUGCAAGUCGAGGGGUAGGGCAGCAAUGCCUGAGACCGGCGCACGGGUGCGUAACGCGUAUGCAAUCUACCUUCAACAGGGGGAUAGCCCAGGGAAAUUUGGAUUAAUACCCCAUAGUAUUAUCGAAGGGCAUCAUUUGAUUAUUAAAGUUCCAACGGUUGAAGAUGAGCAUGCGUCCUAUUAGCUUGAUGGUAAGGUAACGGCUUACCAUGGCUACGAUAGGUAGGGGUCCUGAGAGGGAGAUCCCCCACACUGGUACUGAGACACGGACCAGACUCCUACGGGAGGCAGCAGUGAGGAAUAUUGGACAAUGGGCGCAAGCCUGAUCCAGCCAGGCCGCAUGCAGGAAGACGGUCCUAUGGAUUGUAAACUGCUUUUGUACGGGAAGAAACACUCCUACGUGUAGGAGCUUGACGGUACCGUAAGAAUAAGGAUCGGCUAACUCCGUGCCAGCAGCCGCCGUAAGAC